rnacentral:lncRNA from 1 species
CCCUCUUAAGUCAAGUCAAUACACUAAGAGCAAUAUUAUCAGCCACUAUGGAAUUUCCAACUAAAGAUAAAAAGGAAAGAAGGAAAGAGGCAAAGCUGGAAGAUACCCACUAUAGAGGAAGAAACAAAAAAAAGUUGUAUCCAGUAUUUAAAAUGGCAGACCUGAAUCUCCUAUAGAAAGCUAGACUCCAACUUAUCAUCAAAUAGCCAAAGCUUUUAACAACCAUUCACCACAUCUUUGACAAUGUACUAUACAUAAACCUUCCUGUUCUGUAGCUCAUAGAGGUUUGGCUUGUUUAUUGCUUAUAGAGCACAACAUAUUUAUUUGUAUAUCUGGACCCAGUUUUUUAACUAGCAACUAAGAAAGAACUUACAAGUUAUGGGGGAAAUAAUGUAGAUGAAAAUAAUUUUUUCCUGC